UUAACAACAUGGUACUGAUGAGGAUGUUCAGCGAUAGGAACUCGGCCGCUUGGCUGGGGGAAACACCAAGGGUUACCGCUACUUAGGAAAAUUCUCCGGCAGUUUCUCACAAAGUUAAACGCACACUUACCAAACUACUCAGAAGUCCUGCUCUUCAGCAUUUACGCACAUGAAAUGAAAGCCUACAGUGAACCAAAACCGUACGUACAAACGUUUGUAUCAGCCUCGUUUGUAAUCACGAAAAACUGCAAACAAUUCAAAUGUCCCUCUGUGAGGAACAGACGAACGCGACAGCACAACCACACGACGGGACGCUACUCAGCAGUAAAAAGGACUUCUCCUUUGGCUGACAUUUGCCACAACUUGGCUGAAAACUCCAGUACCGUGUGUUAUCAGAAAGAAGCCAAAGACAAAAGGUUACUCACGAUGGGAUUCCAUCGGUGUGACGUUCUAAAAAUGACAGAACAGAUAGUGGAGGGCCUGACUGCAAGGUGGCAACAUGAGGGACCUGGGGGGACAACGGGACUGUUCUAUAUUUUGCCUGUGACAUCGGCUCCGACUCUAUGGAAUUCUCAAAACUCACAGAAACUAAAUACCAAAAAGAGUGCAUCGUACUGAGCCCCUGGGCCUCUUCACACGGGACUGGCCUGGCAGCAGGACCAAAGACAAGAAUUCCUGGGCAAGGAACUUGUUAAGGGAUUGGUUGUUCCUAGGAGAAACCGGUAGCCAAGUGUUGGAGAGAAGGGGACAAAUGAGAGAUCAAGCAAGGAUGCACCUUCAGGUGAACUUGAGGAGUGAAUUUCAAAUGCUGGUUUCCAGAGGGUCACACAUGCCCAUGGUCCCCAGAAGGAAUGUCCUGAGGAUGGCUGUCCCUUACUCAGCUAUUUCCAACCUUUCGUUUUGAGAUGAGAGUCCCUGUCAUCUAGAAACGAUGGGGGUACUAAGCAUUGUUUGGGGUUUAAUGUGACCUGUCUGGCAAAAUAAAAC